rnacentral:lncRNA from 1 species
AUGCUCAUGCUAUUGUGGCAGAAGGACCCUACAAUUUUAAGAACUGCCUUCACAAACAGCCUAAAAAUCAGACAGGAAAUCAGACACAAGGAAGGAUAUGGGAUAACAAGAGAAUGCUAUUUUAUUGUAAGAAGAACAGGAAUCUUUAUACGAUGGGACAUACUGGAGAAUGUCAGGAGCUUUCAUGUGUGGGUGUUUAAAGGAAAGCAUCAUCCAGACUGGAGUGGAAAAGAAAAAGAUGACAAGCUGGAAACACACACACACAUAUACACACAAAUCGAGUGAGGGACCUUAAACUAUAAGGAUUGGCUGAGUCUUGAGCUCUGAAGGACAAAAAAAAAGUUAGAGGCUGGAUUUUUGCCUGGUUUCCCUUCAAAUCAACAUUUAUCCCCUGCUCAGCUGACAUCAGUGGAAAUAUCAAAAAAUCUUUCUUUUGCAUGCUAACAGAAAUAAUACGGACGUAUAAAAAUAAAAAUAACUAAAGAAGACA